UGCGUAGGUGGUGUGAUAAGUCAGAGGUGAAAGCCCACCGCUUAACGGUGGAAUUGCCUUUGAUACUGUCAGACUUGAAUAAGGUUGAGGUCGGCGGAAUGUGUCAUGUAGCGGUGAAAUGCAUAGAUAUGACAUAGAACACCAAUUGCGAAGGCAGCUGGCUAGACCUUUAUUGACACUGAGGCACGAAAGCGUGGGGAGCGAACAGGAUUAGAUACCCUGGUAGUC
rnacentral:rRNA from 1 species